ACGCUCGACACCUACGGGAGACAGCAGUGGGGAAUAAUGGGCAAUGGGCGCAAGCCUGACCCAGCAACGCCGCGUGAAUGAUGAAGGUCUUCGGAUUGUAAAGUUCUGUGACGGGGGACAACACAAUGACGGUACCCCGACAGCAAGCCACGGCUAACUACGUACCAGCAGCCGCGGUAAUCUGAGCGGGCUGGCAAGGC
rnacentral:rRNA from 1 species